rnacentral:rRNA from 1 species
GACGAACGCUGGCGGCGUGCUUAACACAUGCAAGUCGAACGGAAAGGCCCUGCUUGCAGGGUACUCGAGUGGCGAACGGGUGAGUAACACGUGGGUGAUCUGCCCUGCACUUCGGGAUAAGCCUGGGAAACUGGGUCUAAUACCGGAUAGGAGCCAUUUUUAGUGUGAUGGUUGGAAAGUUUUUUCGGUGUAGGAUGAGCUCGCGGCCUAUCAGCUUGUUGGUGGGGUAAUGGCCUACCAAGGCGGCGACGGGUAGCCGGCCUGAGAGGGUGGACGGCCACAUUGGGACUGAGAGACGGCCCAGACGCCUACGGGAGGCAGCAGUGGGGAAGAUUGCACAAUGGGCGCAAGCCUGAUGCAGCGACGCCGCGUGGGGGAUGACGGCCUUCGGGUUGUAAACUCCUUUCGCUAGGGACGAAGCUUUUUUUGACGGUACCUAGAGAAGAAGCACCGGCUAACUACGUG